UUGAGGGAAUGAAUCUCAAGCAGGCUCCAUGCCCAGCAUGUGAGCCCAAUGUGGGGCUUGAUCUCACGACCCUGCGAUCUUGACCUUAGCUUAAAUAAAGAGUUGGACGCUUCACCUACUGAGCCACCUGGGCACCUCCCCCCACCCCCGAAGCUGAUUUUUAUGGAAAUUCUAAUCCUGGUGGAAUCAGGGCAUGCCUUCAUCAAAUCAUCUCCCUGUCUCAAAUUUAUCAUCAUUCUUUGAUGAGUCCAGGAUCCUGGCAGAAGACCAUGAGCAGUAGUGGGAUGGAAGAUGACAUGAGGAAAUAACACAUCCAAGGGGAUUCUGAGACUUUUAAAGCAGAAUUUGCAGGAGCUGGAGUUACACCAGGAUGAUUGGGAAGGGCCAAAGGGGUAUCAUGGUGAUAAAGAUUUUACCCCCUGAAUUUUCUUUCUUGAGCUAGAAGUGAGAGAGACACAGCAAGAGAGGGAACACAAGCAGGGGGAG